rnacentral:rRNA from 1 species
AUUAGAGUUUGAUCAUGGCUCAGAUUGAACGCUGGCGGCAUGCCUUACACAUGCAAGUCGAACGGCAGCACGGGAGCAAUCCUGGUGGCGAGUGGCGAACGGGUGAGUAAUAUAUCGGAACGUGCCCAGUCGUGGGGGAUAACGUAGAGAAAUUUACGCUAAUACCGCAUACGAUCUAAGGAUGAAAGCGGGGGACUUCGCAAGAGGCCUCGCGCGAUUGGAGCGGCUGAUAUCAGAUUAGGUUGUUGGUGAGGUAAAAGCUCACCAAGCCGACGAUCUGUAGCUGGUUUGAGAGAACGACCAGCCACACUGGGACUGAGACACGGCCCAGACUCCUACGGGAGGCAGCAGUGGGGAAUAUUGGACAAUGGGCGCAAGCCUGAUCCAGCCAUGCCGCGUGCAGGAUGACGGUCCUAUGGAUUGUAAACUGCUUUUAUACGAGAAGAAACAACUCUACGUGUAGAGUCUUGACGGUAUCGUAAGAAUAAGGAUCGGCUAACUCCGUGCCAGCAGCCGCGGUAAUACGGAGGAUCCAAGCGUUAUCCGGAAUCAUUGGGUUUAAAGGGUCCGUAGGCGGUCAGAUAAGUCAGUGGUGAAAGCCCAUCGCUCAACGGUGGAACGGCCAUUGAUACUGUCUGACUUGAAUUAUUAGGAAGUAACUAGAAUAUGUAGUGUAGCGGUGAAAUGCUUAGAGAUUACAUGGAAUACCAAUUGCGAAGGCAGGUUACUACUAAUAUAUUGACGCUGAUGGACGAAAGCGUGGGUAGCGAACAGGAUUAGAUACCCUGGUAGUCCACGCCGUAAACGAUGGAUACUAGCUGUUGGAAGCAAUUUCAGUGGCUAAGCGAAAGUGAUAAGUAUCCCACCUGGGGAGUACGUUCGCAAGAAUGAAACUCAAAGGAAUUGACGGGGGCCCGCACAAGCGGUGGAGCAUGUGGUUUAAUUCGAUGCAACGCGAAGAACCUUACCUGGUCUUGACAUAUCUAGAAUCCUGCAGAGAUGCGGGAGUGCCUUCGGGAAUUAGAAUACAGGUGCUGCAUGGCUGUCGUCAGCUCGUGUCGUGAGAUGUUGGGUUAAGUCCCGCAACGAGCGCAACCCUUGUCCUUAGUUACCAGCGGGUUAAGCCGGGAACUCUAAGGAUACUGCCAGUGACAAACUGGAGGAAGGCGGGGACGACGUCAAGUCAUCAUGGCCCUUACGACCAGGGCUACACACGUGCUACAAUGGUAGGUACAGAGGGCAGCUACACAGCGAUGUGAUGCGAAUCUCAAAAAGCCUAUCGUAGUCCAGAUUGGAGUCUGCAACUCGACUCCAUGAAGUAGGAAUCGCUAGUAAUCGCGGAUCAGAAUGCCGCGGUGAAUACGUUCCCGGGCCUUGUACACACCGCCCGUCACACCAUGGGAGUUGAUUGCACCAGAAGUGGAUAGCUUAACCUUCGGGGGAGCGUUCACCACGGUGUGGUUGAUGACUGGGGUGAAGUCGUAACAAGGUACCAAU